UACGAGGGGGCAAGCGUUGUUCGGAUUUAUUGGGCGUAAAGGGUGCGUAGGCGGUUUGGCAAGUCUUGUGUCGAAAUCUUCGGGCUCAACCCGAAGCCUGCAUAAGAAACUGCCGGGCUUGAGUAUGGGAGAGGUGAGUGGAAUUUCCGGUGUAGCGGUGAAAUGCGUAGAUAUCGGAAGGAACACCUGUGGCGAAAGCGGACUCACUGGACCAUAACUGACGCUGAGG
rnacentral:rRNA from 1 species